rnacentral:lncRNA from 1 species
GGUUUUGGAUUCAGGAAGACAGGUAGAAUUCAGUCGGCCGUAUGAGUUGCUACAAGAUGAAGAGAGCCUAUUUUACAACAUGGUGCAACACCUGAGGGAGGCCGAGGCCACUGCCCCCACUGAGACAGCAACACAGGCAUACUUCAGAGACAGAUUUUUCACAGGGAUCCAUUAUGAAUAUUUCCAGCAGAGAGUUCUCCUCUAUAACAAUUUUGAGCCACCACUGUGAUUCUGCCAUAAGGUCAAGUUUAUUCCAAAGAUGUUUUUCCAGUAGUUUCUGUACAGCAAAAACUAUGCUGUACUUCUUUUUUACACCACCAACAAAUAUUUACAUGUUUUUUAUUUUUUUCUCCAUCUUCACCCGUUGAUUUCCUGCUCCUAUGAAAUGAUUUAUUUUUUUAUUUAUAUAUUAUAAAAUUUUUCUCUUAUCCAAAUCAGUGGCGUGGACCACUAAUAAAAGCUUUCUCCUAGGUUUUGUGCCACAAGAGACUCCAGAGAUGCAGCUCAUUUUCUAAGGUAUAGGACAGAGUUGUCACUUAUUUUUUGCUGCUCUAUAGAUUACGUGCCACUUUCCAGUUAUAUCAGGGACUCUGUUUACUGGAAGACUGUGUGAAACUGCCAUGUUGUCUGACCACCUCCUUUAACAUAACUGGGAUCCGUUACUCUCCCCAAGACUUCUUUCUGGUUGAAAUAGUACAGAGAAAUACUAAUAGGAAAAAUAUGUAUACUUUAAGUGAUAUUAUAGGAGAGAAAGCUGUUCACCCCUCCAAAAUGAAAGAUAUAUGGUUAAAAUAGAGAAGGACAACAUUUAAUUCUGUUCUAAAAGAAAAGGAAGAGAAAAUAUGACUCUCACAACGUAGCCCUUCUAGGGGAUUUGAUAAUGAAGGAGAUACAUGUAUAUGAUCAUUGAUUGUCUUCUAGAUGGAGGGAUUGUUUUGCAUUUUUUAUUGUAAAUAUAUAUAUACCAUAAAAUUUAGAAUCAUAACCAUUUUAAACAUACAAUUCAGUGCCAUUAAUCACAGUCCCAGUGUUGGGCAACCAUCACCCCCUAGUUCAUUUUUGGUAGGUCUUUUAGAAUAUUCAGUUAUUGCUACAAAGUCAUUUUUAAGUUUCAUUCUCUAGGAACUGAUCUGUUUCCUACAAGUUUUAAGUGUGACUGGCAUAAAGUCAUUUACAAUAUCUUAUAUGUUUAAUUUCUUCAACAUUUGUAAUUGUGGUUUUUUUUCCUUUUUAAUUUUCUUUGACCUUUUUUUCUUGAAUAAUCUUACAUGACUUUUUCCUAUUAAUUUUCAAAGAAUCAUUUUAUUGCUUAAUUUAUCCUUCUGUUUUUUUUCUAGUUCAUAUUAUUUCUUUCCUUCAUCUGUUCUUCAUUUGAGGGUUUUUUUUUCCCUCUACUUUUUAAAAACAGAAAUUUAGAUUAAUUUUUAACUUAAUUAUAAAGCCUACUUUUUUCCCUAAGUACCACUUUAGCAGCAACCUGCAAGUUUUGGUUCUUAGCACUGAUAAGUAACCAUAAUAAUAGCCAUUUUCUAACUUACCUGUAUCUUUUACCCAUGAGCUAUUCAUAAGUGUAAUGUUCUCUAAACUUCAGAUGUUAAUGGCAUUUUCUUGUUAGAUUAAACCUUGUGAAUAUGCUAAUAUUAAACCUUUUUUUAACCUAUAAAAAUGGCAGUUCAUAUGGUUCAACAUAAUUGUUUUGUUACUAAUAUGUAAGUUUCACUUUGGUCAGAGAACAUUAGAUUGCAUUUUAAACCAAAGGUAACUGCAUUCACACACAAAGUCCUGUUUUUAUCUUUUUGUAUUCUUUUUGGGCUUUUUAAAAUGUUGUAAGUAUGUGCACAACCAGUGAUUUUCAAAUGAAAAUCUGAGCACUGAAAUCUUUUUUUUUUUUGAUACAUGUUGCUGGUUGGUUCUCUGGGGUACAAAUUCAGGUGGAGAUUAACAUUGGGAUGAGUAUUAGGGGUACCUUUGGGGUCAACACUUGUGGAAUCAAGAGGAAAGAAACAUGAUAGGGUAGAUGGAGAGUUCAAGCUGAACCACUGCCCAGACGACCUUAGCUGACCCCAUGGGGUCUCUGGAUGAAGGUGGCCCCUUGGGGUUUCCUGACACAUCCAGUGGCCAGGCCUUUAUGCCUCCACCUGAUGGUCAUUGCAUGUAUGUGGCCUGCAGAAGGGCUGGUGGUUUAAGGCUGCCCAUUGGCAGCACUUCCAACAGCUGGACAACAAGCCCUUGAAGGAAGGUCUGAAUGGCACGUGUCCAUGUCUCCCACCUAUGUGUCACAGCUGCAGAGGUAGAUGGUUAAGGUGUAUGUACUGUGGAGGGAUGCUCUUGGUGACUGAUGUAAGUCAAAAUGAUUAAAUGCUUCUCCUAAAUACCCUGUGGUCUGAAAAUAAAGGAGCAGGUCCACGUAGGGGAGAAACCCUCAUUCUCUGGGGUCAGCCCAGUGUUCAGCUCUUCAGGAAGCCAUCAGUCAUCAUCCUAGGUAACUCGUGUUGCUGUAAUGCCCUCAACACCUCUCAUUUGUUAAAAUGAACCAUACUUGGUUAAUGUCCUAUUUUAGCCAUCUUUAGAUACUUAUUUUUAAAACAAGGGACCCUGCUUUUUCCAUUUUGCACUGAGUCCUGUAAAUUAUGUAGCCUGCCCUAACUAUGAGUAUUCAUUCUUGGGUGGUCUGUUUUGUCAAUAAACCAUGAGCUUCUAAAGACU